UACAGAGGUCCCGAGCGUUGUUCGGAUUCACUGGGCGUAAAGGGUGCGUAGGCGGUUUGUUAAGUCAGCUGUGAAAGCCCGGGGCUCAACCCCGGAGAGUCGACUGAUACUGGCAAACUAGAGUACGGAAGAGGUAGCUGGAAUUCCCGGUGUAGCGGUGAAAUGCGUAGAUAUCAGGAGGAACACCGGUGGCGAAGGCGGGUCUCUGGGCCGAUACUGACGCUGAGGAGCGAAAGCGUGGGGAGCGAACAGG
rnacentral:rRNA from 1 species